rnacentral:tRNA from 2 species
GAGAGGUGUCCGAGUGGUCGAAGGUGCUUGACUCGAAAUCAAGUGUGGCUAAUAACCACCGUGGGUUCGAAUCCCACCCUCUC